GGUCUACAUUGCUGUUGUCGUGUGUGACC
rnacentral:misc_RNA from 1 species